GAAACUGUAGCUCAGUUGGUAGAGUAGUAGAUCUAGAGAGACGAUAGAAUUCGGGUCAUACCCGGUGGUCAUUGGUUCGAAUCCAAUCAGUUUCAC
rnacentral:tRNA from 1 species